CUCGUCUAUAAAAGCGCAUCAUUUGACCAAGCAAAUUUUAGUUUAGUGAACUACACAGAACAUUCUGGUUUGGGUGAUUCAUUUUGAGCUAAAAGCAGUUUUAAAUAAAAAAAAAUUUUAAAAAAGUUUAUUUUCGAUAAAUAAAGAAACUAGUUAUAAAAAUGGUUAUCAAAAAUCCGAACAAUAUCGUUGUGCCCGAUUAUUUGAACGAGAACUUCUUCGUGGCCGCGCUCGAGGAAGGUUUGCGUGCAAUCCAGGUGACGGUUAAAGAAUUAACUUUCGAAUGGGCCACCAACCCCGGUGAUAAUUACUGCUCUCGCAUCUAUCGCAUCGCGGUCACCUAUGAGCGACUAGUUGACGCUGAUGAGCCGCCAGUACAAGAGCAACGGUCGUUAAUCGUUAAAUCUAUACCGGUUCCGGAAGACAUACGUUUCCUUGAAGAUGUAGGUGUUUUCCUUAAGGAAAAAAUGACCUAUUUGGAUGUAUUGCCACGGCUGCAAGUACUUGUGCCGUGUCCGAAAUUCGGUGCCAUCUGCUAUUAUGCAACCAAAUCCCCCAUUAACACCCUUGUUUUUACUGACUUGAAGUCUGAAGGUUUUCGGGUUGCGCCACGACAGGACCAGCUCGAUUGGGCACACUGCGAAUUGAUCUUGCAACAAACGGCGCGCCUGCAUGCCACUUCAAUGAUUUUAGCCCAGCGAGAUCCCGACAUCACCAAACGCUUGGUUGACGGUAUGCUGUGCGAGAAGUCUAUAAUGAAGUCUGAUUCCUUUAAGCAAAUGUUCGGCGUUAUGCUGAAGUACCUGGCCAACAAUGCAGCCGAGUGGCCUGGUUUUGAAAAGAUCGCACAAAAAUUGCACCAUUUCAAUGAUAAUUUCAGGAGAAUAUGCGCACGCUUAUCAGAUCCUCGUAAAGGCGAUCGUUUUGUUGUGAUGAAUCAUGGUGAUCUCUCUAUUUUAAAUAUCAUGUACGCCUAUGAUGAUCCCAAGCAACCCAAGAAACCAACGCGCGCUAUGUUUGUGGAUUUCCAACUUAAUUUCUGUGGCAGCCCUGGCUGCGAUCUCAACUUCUUUCUCAACACUAGUGUACGUUUAAAUGUGCUAAAGGAUCGACGAGAUGAUCUCAUAAAUGUGUAUUACAAAACAUUCAAGGAGACGUUGGAGUACCUUCAUUACGAGAAUAUACCGACUUUAGAAGAUCUAAAGUACGAAUUGCGUGCUCGUGAACUUUAUGGUCUCUUCGCUACGUUCAGUUUUCUGCCCAUGGUUACUAUGCCAAAGGAGCUAUCUGGAGAUAACAGUGUUGAAAAUAUGAUAAACGAGGACAACGUCCGUGCAAAGUACCAAAAACUAUUUUCACAAGAUAAUGUGCAAGCACAGCUAAAGUAUGCACUGAAGCGCUUUGAUGAUUUGGGUGUGUUGGACGAGUUUUAGUUAAUGUUUAAUAUUGGGUACAACUACUUUAUGAGUGCUGGGAACAUGUAAAUAUUAUACUCAUAUAUUUGUUUCUCAUAUGAUGAGAGUCAUAACGGAACCGCUGCGUAUUGCAAGACAAGCAAGAAAAGGAGAGAUAAGUAUAACUUCUCUCUUUCUCUUAUUUGUUCGGGAAGCCGCAGUACUCAUAUGCAGCUUAUCAAGUUUUACGCUCAACUUGGCGAUCAGCUUUACAACGACGAUCCAAACAAAUAAUAUUGCUACAAGCUCGGCUAAACCCAUAUAUACCGCACAUCAGUGACUAGAAAUACAU